UACGUAGGGUGCGAGCGUUAAUCGGAAUUACUGGGCGUAAAGCGUGCGCAGGCGGUUUUGUAAGCCAGAUGUGAAAUCCCCGGGCUCAACCUGGGAAUGGCAUUUGGGACUGCAAGGCUGGAGUACGGCAGAGGAGACUGGAAUUCCUGGUGUAGCAGUGAAAUGCGUAGAUAUCAGGAGGAAUACCGACGGCGAAGGCAGGUCUCUGGGCUGAUACUGACGCUCAUGCACGAAAGCGUGGGGAGCAAACAGG
rnacentral:rRNA from 1 species